UACGAAGGGGGCGAGCGUUAUUCGGAAUAACUGGGCGUAAAGAGCGUGUAGGUGGUUUUGUAAGUUGAGUGUUAAAGAUCACGGCCUAACCGUGAAAAUGCAUUCAAAACUGCAGGACUAGAGGAUAGGAGGGAGGAGUGGAAUUCUUGGAGUAGCGGUAAAAUGCGUAGAUCUCAAGAGGAACACCGAUGGCGAAGGCAGCUCCUUGGCCUAUUCCUGACACUGAAAUGCGAAAGCGUGGGGAGCAAACAGG
rnacentral:rRNA from 1 species